GGGCAGAGAAGCAAGAUGAAAUGACAAAAGAAAACCAGAUAAAUGUCUAGUAGGAAGAAAACAUCUUGUGUGCUAAAAAGGUUUUGUACAGUGAAGCACUGACUGGAAUUGCAGAAGGUGAUCCUGUUAAGUAGUGGAGCAAACCUCUGUCAGUAAUUUAAUUGAAACGUAAUCAAAGAAUGCUAAUAUUUAUGCUCCGGUAAAGAAUAUUCAUGCUAAUGGUCAUAUAGGGUCUGUCUGAACCUAACAGCUGCCUCUUCAACAAGUUGGAAGAAAGUUUGUUCAAUCAGAAUUUCUGUUGCAAAAACAUUGUCAGUGCAGAUCCUUGUGUCUCUCAUUUUUGAACCAGUUUAUGUCAACUGUAUGGGCAAUUUUGACUGCUUUGUUGUUUUACUAGAUAAAAUUUACUAAGUUAGAAUGAUAUGACUGCCAUAAUUCCUUCCAGUUAUUAUGUUUUCCAAUAGCAAUAAAAAUAUUGCUAACAUUGUGACUUAUAUCCUU
rnacentral:lncRNA from 1 species